UCCAGCGCGGCUGGCGUGCUAUACAGUCCAUCCGGAUUAUUUGGUCGCUUUAGCAGUGUACGGGGUCCGCUGUGGCGCGCAGUGUCCUGUUGGAGAUGGAAACCGCUCGUGGGACUGCGCAUGCGCGUAACGGAGCAUCGUACGUGUGCUGAAGCGUACGAGAUCCCUCUCCCCUACCACUCCUCUCGCACCGGUUCCCUUCCUCGUCUCGCGUUCGCGUCUCUUUUUAACAGAGACGCGUUUUAUAGUUUUAUCCUGACUGUGUCUCGUCUCUUUUCUUCUUUUUACCUUUUUCUUAUCCUCUUCCCCUUAUUCUUUUACUGCUCGGUUGUAUAUUGUCUUUACGGUGGUCAAUUUGUUCGUCACCCGGGACACGGGUUGAUAUUUUUUGUACACUUUUCUCUUUUUACGGUAAAUGCGCGAACGCGGUCGCGCCGACGCACUACCGGUUUUUCAUUCACACAGCGCAGCGGGUUGUUCAAAAUUGUCCCCGUUCCUGCGAAAAGUCGUUGAUGCACGGUCUCGGAACGAACGAUCGUCGUUCUAGAUACAUACGAGCUUCUCUCGAGAUCGUGAACUACGACGCACAGCACUUCCGUAAAGAUGACCGAUGAAUAUUUCAGCGCGCUAAAGUUAUUAACAUGUACAACAAAGAAGAAAGGAACAACUUCCUCGGAUCUACACUAUCCGUGUGAUUCGUUGCAGUUGCAUGCACGAUUCUUCAAUAAACAACCUAGAGAGGAAGCUAAUGUCGGCGUCACUAACAGACGGAAGUGUUUCACCUUGCACAGCGAAAGCCGGUGCAGGUCCUCGGGGAAUGUGUGGUGUUCGCUAUUGCGGUGCGGUACGGAAUGCGAAAUGCAUUUCGGGGUGUGGCACGCGUAGCUAAUGCCUUACUGACUCACAUGCGUGCCUUGGAUCGAGCCGCCCGAUUUAUCCAAAUUGCUCUUCAUACGUGCAUCUACACGUGUUUCUAUCUAUAGUUCUAUCAACUUCUCGCAUGCACACAUAAAGCAAUCAUGCGAGGCCUUGAUCUUGAAGGGGCGAAACAAACAGGAAAGACGCUAGAAAGAGAGAGAAGGGGGAGGGAAGAGAGGGAAAGAGAGAGAGAGAGAGAGAGAGAGAGAGUGAGAGAGAGUGAGAAAGAGAGGAAAGCGACAGAGAUCACCUUUAGGUAAAGUAAUCGGGAAUGUUAAAGACGCGAAAUUACACUCUCAUCCACGUGUCUCUGCAAGUCUGCGGCCGUCUUUUUAUCAAAGUUGCAAUGAAUAUGCAAAAGAAAGGAGUCAUAAUUACUUACUCGCUACUGAUGCAAUCUCGGUUCAGAUUUAUCGGUCUCUUUUGGUAAUAGAUUGUAAUUAGGCUAAUGCAAUAUUUCAUGUAAACCUGACAUAACUUUGAAUAAACCUGUACACUGGUAAACAUCUACUCUGGUGUAUAAGAUGUAACUUUUGACGUAAGAUUAGCGAAUACUGUUAUCACGUAAUGAUCAUACUUUCCACGAAAGCAAAUUAACUUCUUAAUUUAGAAUAUAAUUAUCUCUUUAUCCUCAAGAUUUCCUGCGUGUCUAAUAUUUUAUAAAAGCUACAUACUUUCCAAGCAUUUCACAUGAGGUAGAUAUUAACAAUUGAGUUACAUACAAUGAUAUAACGUAUAAAACUAUAUUUCGCGACUUCGCCAAAUCUGUAUGGAGCUUCGCUAUUAAAAAGGGUCAGGGAUUACUAAUGUACAAUAUCGAUAAUAGUAAUAAUAAUGAAAACUAAACGCUGUACAUCUUUGCGAGCAGGCAGGCGCGUUCAUUAAAAGAUCGAUCUGUAAAAAUUAGCACGUAAGUUUGUAACGCAAGUACCUUUGUACGAGCAUUGCGACUCUACGUACGUUAAAGGCCAUGGCGACAGAACGUCGGAACAAGAUGAGAAAGGUGGAACUGGUCGAGCGGCCAAGGCACUUGUUUACUCGAACGAUCGUGGCCUCCUUUUCGGUCGUACACCUUCGCUAAUUCACUUCACUUCCUCUGUCCCCUUCGUUCUUCUCUUCGUUCUUUCCCCUUUCGUUCUUUCUUCACUACUGCUCCCCUCUAUCUUCUUCUAUCUAUCUACCCCACGAUGUAUCUCUACCUGUUUCUUCUGUCUUUUCUUUGACAGAUUCUAUUCGCGCAAUACUUUCACAGGACAUCGUAAUCAUUGGCAUCCGUCAUUCAGUUCUCGAUGAUACUCAUUCGUUCCUCCUUCGCUUUAUAAAUCUCCUCUUACAAUUAUUAUCUUUCGAAAUGAUACCGACGUAUCAGCAGACAUCGGUACAAAACAUUGAAAAUUAAUCAUUGGUCGAUUAUUUUCAUUUUCAUUCUUUCUGUUCACUGCACAACGAAGCGACGCGACGAUCCGCUCGUACACGAGGAAAUUAAAAUUUUUUGUCUACGUUAAUUAUAAUCCCGAGGCAUCACACUACCUAUAUACUGCCGUGUUAAGUCAAAAGGGCGUAUCUGCAAUUUUCGUAAAAGUCAUUGCUGUCAGGUGGCACGAAAGUACUUUAUCUAUGUGUAUAUUAAAUAAGAGAGCUGUAUCUGCAAUAAAACUGAAGAUAUAACAGUUUUAUAUUAUAUUUCUAGUAAUACAGACAGUAAUUACAUUAUAUCAUUAACAGACGUAUGCAAAAUCGAUGUUUGGUUGUUAAAUAUUAAAAGUCAUUUUUCUCAAAACCAUCUUUUGACCGAAUGUGCCUAUUUGAAUUAGCAUGACAGCAUGCACAAAGAAUGAUCAAUCGAAGCGUUAUCUAAUUAAAUCGGUUUUAUGGUCGAGCUUAUACUGCGCUCGAUUUUUAUUUGCUAUUAUAGAUAUCGAUAUUUAUGGAGGGAUUAAAAGAGAUAUAUAUAACUAACGUUCUGUCUGAUUUUUUCAUUUUUACGUAGUGUGCCAUCGAGUCGUUUAAUGGAUCGAAAAGUUCGAGCCGGCUCCGACGGGCCAGUUGAGAAUCUUGCAACGAGAACUGGACAUUCCUGCUCGCUAACAGGAUAAAGGAUAAAUGUGUCCUUGAGUAUGACUGCCAUCUUUGGCGGCGACUUUGCGGUAUGAGCGGUAACGAAGCGUACCGUAGGGUUGUUUUCGCGCUCGAAAUGCAAUGAAAUACGUUUAAUGCCAUGCAUACUUUAAAUAGUCGAAGUGGAUACCCCCAACCAAUAAACUAUUCUACUUCGAUCUUAAUACGAUCGUAAUGCAGAGAUGGAAUCUGACGCGACUUCUAACAAAUGUCUCGAUCGAAUCUCAUAUUUAUAUCUAUGACUCGAGUAGAAACUUUAUAUCGACGGAAAGUGGGCGAAGCCAGACACGAAUGGCAGAUCAAGCAUGCUAUCAAAGAAUUUCAAUGGGCACUCGUGUAGAUACAAGCUGCAAGAAAGCACGAACGCAAAUAUGAAGUUGGUAGCAGGAUGAUAGUAGCGAUGGGGUCGAGCCAGAGGUAGCUUGUAAUUUCCGAGCGGUUCGAUACAGCUCGAUCGUUUAUUUCAUGAAAUUGUAGAGAACUGAAACAAUAAGAUAUUUUAGUUCGUGUACGAUUAGCAACGGACAAGGAUUGCCGGUAAUUUCCGAACAUUUUGGUGAUUUCUAUGUGGUCGGUAACGUAGAAUCGAACGGCUAACCAGAGACACGCCGCAAAGAACGUAGCAAUCUUUGUACGA